rnacentral:rRNA from 1 species
AACGAACGCUGGCGGCAUGCCUAACACAUGCAAGUCGAACGAGACCUCCGGGUGUAGUGGCGCCCGGGUGCGUCACGCGAGGGGAGCUGCCCUUGGGUUUGGCCUACCUAUCCGACAGGGGUGCUAAUACCGGAUCAUGUCUUCGGACCAAAGAUUUAUUGCAUUUGGAUGGGCCCGCGUGGGAUUCGCUCGUUGGUAGGGUAAAAGCUUAUUACGGGGACGAUUAAUAGCUGGUCUGUGAGAAUGAUCAGCCACUCUGGGACGAAGACACGGCCCAGACUCCUACGGGAGGCAGCAGUGGGGAAUAGUGGACCGUGGGCGAAAUGCUGAUCCAGCAAUGCCGCGUGAGUUAUGAAGGCCUUAGGGUUGUAAAGCGCUUUUACCCGGGAUGAUAAUGACGGUACCGGGUGAAUAAGCCCCGGCUAACUCCGUG